AUUGAACGCUGGCGGCAUGCUUUACACAUGCAAGUCGAACGGUAACAGGGAGCUUGCUCCGCUGACGAGUGGCGAACGGGUGAGUAAUGCAUCGGAACGUACCCAGUCGUGGGGGAUAACGUAGCGAAAGUUACGCUAAUACCGCAUACGUCCUGAGGGAGAAAGCGGGGACCGAAAGGCCUCGCGCGAUUGGAGCGGCCGAUGUCGGAUUAGCUAGUUGGUAGGGUAAAGGCCUACCAAGGCGACGAUCCGUAGCGGGUCUGAGAGGAUGAUCCGCCACACUGGGACUGAGACACGGCCCAGACUCCUACGGGAGGCAGCAGUGGGGAAUUUUGGACAAUGGGCGCAAGCCUGAUCCAGCCAUGCCGCGUGAGUGAAGAAGGCCUCGG
rnacentral:rRNA from 1 species